AAAAUGGAAUUUUUCGGGAAUCAUGGAAUUCCAGCCAAAUGCGACGACCUAGAAAGAAACGGAUUUCACAGCAGGGUGCGCCAGAAAAUUUCCUAUAAAACAUCUUUUAUGACAGUUUCAAAGUGUAUUUUUCGAUGACUUCUGCGUUAUGGGGAUCUCCCGAGAAAAAAAAAACUUGCGGUUUGAAAGGGUUAAGUCAUAUAUGUGUAACAAGUCGGUCUUUUCUUUCUUUUCUUGGAUCUGUGUUCCUCCACCAAACAUAUUGUAGCUCUGUGGGGUGAGGUUCAAGGGACUGGUGGUGUCCAUGGGCCGUACAUUACUCAACAUUUCACCGCCCAAACAGACACAUUUAACAAGGCUUUCGUAAGACUUUUGGGCACUUGUAGGGGUAAGGGGAAAGGAAAAGAAAAUAAAGCAAAAGGCUGAAAGGAAAGUUUGCAGAAAAACAAAGAAAAGAAAGUAAAGAAAGAGAACCAAAGAAAAAGUGCUUGUGUCUGGCGCCCGAGGUAAAUAUCAGCCAAACUAAAUACCUAAUAACAACAUGUACUCAUUUAGAUCCGUGUAUUGAACUCCAUAUAUCUUUAUUACUAGAUAUUUAAUAAUCAUUCGCUGAUAUUUAAGGUUUAAACGAGAUGUUUAUAUAAAAAUUAGCCAUAGGUCCGUCGCUCACGAUUAAGUGCGCCAAGACCGAACAGCUGCGGUGACGUGUUGUCUGUAGCUAUCACUGCCCAACUCUUCCUCCCGCGUGAAUUACAGCUUCCUCAAGAGCCCCACCACCUACACGGCAGCCCUGAAGGACGAGGAGGACUCUGCGGGCACGGAGGCGUCGCAGGAGGGUGUCAGGAGAGGAGUGGAGCGAGGAACACUGGUAGUGUGCGGCUUCCUGUAUUUGCAGGCUCCUGAGGCAGGGUCUGGGAGGCCCACUGGGUAAGAGAGGAGACAGAGAUAAAGACAAAGUGACUACCUUGUAAACCAAGACCAAGGCAUCAGCUAAGGAUGCCACAUCAUGGCUACGAGUCCAACAAGUGCCUGACCUGCUCCAACAAGAUGUGUGAAGACUCACCUGCCCCGGGAUAAAUCUUCUCC